rnacentral:rRNA from 1 species
GACGAACGCUGGCGGCGCGCUUAACACAUGCAAGUCGAACGGAAAGGCCUGCUUUCCCUUGUGGAUUGCGGGUACUCGCGUGGCGAACGGGUGAGUAACACGUGAGUUAUCUGCCCCCAACUUUGGUAUAAGCCUGGGAAACUGGGUCUAAUUCCCGAUAGGACUGCAGGGUGGUUCCUGUGGUGGAAAACGAUUUUCUAGUGGUUGGGGAUGAGCUCGCGGGCUAUCAGCUUGUUGGUGGGGUAAUGGCCUACCAAGGCGGCGACUGGUAGCCGGCCUGGGAGGGUGGGCGGGCACAUUGGGACGGAGAUACGGCCCAGACUACUACGGGAGGCAGCAGUGGGGAAUAAUGCACAAUGGGCGGAAGACUGAGGCAGCGAGGCCGAGUGGGGGAUGACGGGCUUCGGGUUGUAAACUCCUUUCGACAGAGAGGAAGCGACCUGGUUGGAAGGGUGGUGACGGUAGUGGUAGAAGAAGCACCGGCUAACUACGUG